AACGAACGCUGGCGGCGCGUCUUAAACAUGCAAGUCGAACGAUCUGUAGCAAUACAGGGAGUGGCGGACGGGUGAGGAACACGUAGGAAUCUACCUUGAAGAGCGGGACAACUUUGGGAAACCGGGGCUAAUACCGCAUAGUACAGAGAUGUUAAAGGGCUAGCAAUAGUCGCUUCGAGAUGAGCCUGCGGUCUAUCAGCUUGUUGGUGAGGUAAUGGCUCACCAAGGCUACGACGGAUAGCCGGUCUGAGAGGAUGAUCGGCCACACUGGCACUGAGACACGGGCCAGACUCCUACGGGAGGCAGCAGUUAAGAAUCUUGCGCAAUGGGGGAAACCCUGACGCAGCGACGCCGCGUGAAGGAUGAAGGCUUUCGGGUUGUAAACUUCGGUAGACUGGGAAGAAGAACUACGUUCGUUGAGGGCGUAGAGUGACGGUACCAGUCUGAAGCCCCGGCUAAUUACGUGCCAGCAGCCGCGGUAAU
rnacentral:rRNA from 1 species